GCCCCUGUAGUGUAGUGGUAGCACGCCCCCCCCCCCCCCACCCCCUGGGUGAAACGAGGGUUCAACUCCCUCCUGAGGUC